rnacentral:lncRNA from 1 species
UCGAAGAGAGAAUUCCUCGGGGUUUCCAAGAACGGACGCCGGCCGACAAGGGGGGAACGCCGAAGCCGAGCUGGGGAAACCACGCGAAACAGCUAGAGAUCGUCGCUGAAAAAUGGGGGAUGCGUGAUCGCAGAGAGCGUCGAGAAAUCGGAGUUCAGCGGGAGAAAUCAGAGGUGUUUUGGGGCUUCUGGCGCGAGCGGCGUGGGUCACGAGCAGGGACGUCGGGCAACGGCCGGUCACGAGCAGGGACUUCUGGCUAUUCGCGAAUGCGGGCGUCGAGGCUCGAGCGACGUCGGGGACUGGCGUCCAGCGGCGUUCGGCGACAGUGGCCGGCGGUGCGGCGCUGAGCAGAGCGACGGGCGUCGAGCGGCGUUCGGCGACGGUGGCCGGCGCUGAGGAGUGAGCAGGGAUGUCAAUCGGGUCUUCAGGGCAACGACGACUCAAGUGUCGCGAAUGCGGGCGUCGAGCGACGUCGGGGACUGGCGUCCAGUCCAGACCAGUGGCGUCCGGCGGCGGUGGCCUUGAGGGCGAGCGGCGUCCAGCUGAAAUCGGAGGACUGAGUGAGGAAGAUACAGAGGACAGGAGGCCGCUGGAGACUUGGAGUUGGAGCGCCGAG